GAUGAACGCUGGCGGCGUGCCUAAUACAUGCAAGUCGAGCGAACAGAUGAGGAGCUUGCUCCUCUGACGUUAGCGGCGGACGGGUGAGUAACACGUGGAUAACCUACCUAUAAGACUGGGAUAACUUCGGGAAACCGGAGCUAAUACCGGAUAAUAUAUUGAACCGCAUGGUUCAAUAGUGAAAGACGGUUUUGCUGUCACUUAUAGAUGGAUCCGCGCCGCAUUAGCUAGUUGGUAAGGUAACGGCUUACCAAGGCAACGAUGCGUAGCCGACCUGAGAGGGUGAUCGGCCACACUGGAACUGAGCCACGGUCCAGACUCCUACGGGAGGCAGCAGUAGGGAAUCUUCCGCAAUGGGCGAAAGCCUGACGGAGCAACGCCGCGUGAGUGAUGAAGGUCUUCGGAUCGUAAAACUCUGUUAUUAGGGAAGAACAAAUGUGUAAGUAAAUAUGCACGUCGUGACGGUACCUAAUCAGAAAGCCACGGCUAACUACGUG
rnacentral:rRNA from 1 species